UACGGAGGGUGCGAGCGUUGUCCGGAAUUACUGGGCGUAAAGAGCUCGUAGGUGGUUUGUCGCGUUGUUCGUGAAAACUCACAGCUCAACUGUGGGCGUGCGGGCGAUACGGGCAGACUAGAGUACUGCAGGGGAGACUGGAAUUCCUGGUGUAGCGGUGGAAUGCGCAGAUAUCAGGAGGAACACCGAUGGCGAAGGCAGGUCUCUGGGCAUUAACUGACGCUGAGGAGCGAAAGCAUGGGGAGCGAACAGG
rnacentral:rRNA from 1 species